GGAGGUGCUGGAAGGUGAAGGGGUUCAGAGGAGAACAGAGGGUGGAGGAGAAUCUGCCUCCUCUUUAGAGGAAGACGGGCGAGGCCGUUUGGGAGGUUGCCUGGAACUGAGAGUAUCUUUGGUCUUAAGCCUACUCUCUCUUUAAACAACUUUGCGCUAAUGCUUGUGCAACUGCAUUUUUAUUGCCCUGCAAUGUAAAUGAGUGAGAGGGCCUACCCUAGGGGAAGCCACCUGGUGUGUUCUCCUCACAGCAGUCAGGAGCCACAUUCCUCAUCCUAAAUCCUGCCUUCUCUUUGGAACUUCCUUUGAUCUGUUGGUUCCAGAUAUGUAAAGUGGGCAAUGAGAAAGCUGAGGUGCCAUCUCAUACCGCAAGAAUUGUGCAUCUGGAUCGCCUUGAUUUAUGUAGCCCCGUCUGUAUUUAUUGCUAUUAUUAAAUUCACUCCUGUCAAAUUGUCA